rnacentral:rRNA from 1 species
AAUUCUGAAGCUAAUACAUGCAUAAAAGCUGAAUCUUUAUUGAUUUGGUGCGGUUAUUGGUUCUUAAAAUCAAGCAUCUUCGGAUGUUUAUGAUUGACUUCAAGUAAUUACACAGCUGAUCGCAUGGUCUUGUACCGGCGACAGAUCAUUCAAGUGUCUGACCUAUCAACUUUCUAUAUAAGUAUAUAGUACUUAUAUGGUUUUGACGGGUAACGGAGAAUUAGGGUUCGACUCCGGAGAAAAUGCCUGAGAAACGGCGUUUACAUCCAAGGAAGGCAGCAGGCGCGAAAAUUACCCACUCUCAGUACGAGGAGGUAGUGACGAGAAAUGACAAGAUCUAGUCCUUCGGGGCUGGAUCAUUGGAAUGGUUUGACUUUAAAAUCAUUAAAGAGUAUCAAUGAGAGGGCAAGUCUGGUGCCAGCAGCCGCGGUAAUUCCAGCUCUCAUACUGCAUUGAAUUGUUGUUGCGGUUAAAAAGCUCGUAGUUGGAUCUCUACACGAUAGGCUGGUUCACUCUUUGAGUUGAAACUAGUACUAAGUGUUGUUUAUCAGAUUUUUUGUUGAUUCGAAAGAAUUGACAAAUGUCUGAUGAGUUUACUUUGAAUAAAUCAGAGUGCUCAAAACAGGCGUAAGCUUGUAUGGUUUUGCAUGGAAUAAUAGAACAUGACCGUGGUUCAUGUUUUAUUGGUUUUAAUUACCAUGGUAAUGAUUAAAAGGAACAAACGGGGGCAUCCGUAUCGCAGGGCGAGAGGUGAAAUUCGUGGACCCUUGCGAGACGAACUACAGCGAAAGCAUUUGCCAAGAAUG